GUGUGAACAUGAAGCAGAGGGGGUGGGGGAAGGGAGAGGAGCACUUGGCUAUACCAGAACACAGGUGUUUGAUCCCCCCUUCAGGGUACAAAUAUCUUUAUGCCCUUCCCUCAAGAAACAACCUCUGGAAAGGUGAGAUUCAUUCCAGUCCAUUCCCUCCUUUUUUUUUUCCUCUUGGUCAGUCUUAGAGCCUCCACUGUCCUGACCUCCCUAUCCCUGAGACCAGAAGAAAAGGAUCACUGAGAAAAUGAAAGAUGGGUACUGAUCAGAUGUCCUCCCUCCAUUUCAGGCUUUCUGAGGACAGUCUCCCAGGAUCCAAAGACCAUAGGACUUAAGACUGGAAAAAAUCUUUGAGAUAACUUAACACCCCCCACACACACACACACACAAUAUGAGGAAACCAUUGCUCAAAGGGGUGGGGAAGAUAACUUCACAUGGACAACAAGUAGCAGAAUAGGAACUUGAAUAAUGAAGCAAUGACUGGGGAUCCAGGGUCCUCUCCUCUACCUCAUGAUGCCUCCACCGGAGCAGGAGUCAGAAGAGGGGCUCCUGGGAUCUCACUCACCAUACCAGUCUCUUAGCUAGUAAGUGGGAGAGUCAGGACCUAACCCUAUAUAUUCUGGCUUCAAAUCCAGCGCUCUUUCCACUGUCUCUUGUGAUAACGAGCCUUAAGUCUGCAGCUUGAUUUCCUUGAGACCCUUUUCUGCUCCUGAACCCAAGGGUAAGUAAGUUAGGGUGGGGUGGGGGACCCAAGUGGUAUAGUUUGAGAUAGCUGGGGAGAUGAAGAAAUGAUAAAGAAUGACUUAGCAGAUGUUGCUACCUUCCAGUAGGCUCUGGCCAGCAACCCUUCAUGGAGAGGUCCCUGGACAGCUGCUGAAAGUUGGUGUUAAUGCUCAGAGGCAGCUAGACCACAGCAGCUCACAGGUACAUUCCAGGACAACAGUCCAAGAGAAGUUCCUUCAGUCAGCUUUAUUUUCCCCCACCAGGAGGCAGUGGAAUAGAAGAUAGAGUUCCUGACCUGGAGGAAUUAGGAAGGAAAGAAGGAAGACCUAUUAGGUUUGAAAAUUGCCUUAAAAACUUUCUAGCUGUGUGAUUCUGGUCAUCAUUCAACCUCUCCCAGCCUCAGUUUUCUUAUCCAUAAAAUAGGGACAAGACUACCACCUGAUUCACAAGAUAAUUAAAAAGAUUCAAAGAGAUGAUAAAUGGAAAAUGCUUUGACUGUUUUUUUGUGGUGGCAAAAAAUGGGAAAAUGAGGGAUUGUCCCUCGAUUGGGGAAUGGCUGAACAAAUUGUGGUAUAUGAUGCUGGUGGAAUACUAUUGUGCUAUAAGGA
rnacentral:lncRNA from 1 species